rnacentral:misc_RNA from 1 species
CAUUGAUGUAAAAUUGUGAGAUAAUAGUGUUACAAAUGAUAAAGUUGAAAGAUAACGAUGUUACAACUAGCAAAGUUAAAGGAUAAUCUUAUUACAUGUGACAUGAGAAAGGAGAAAGAAAAGCUAAUUAAGCAUCAUGUUGAAUUUGUCCAUGUCAACAUUUAAUAGGGAAACUGGAAACUGAUGAUUGAAGGUCAGAGAGAUUUUACUGUGUAAAAUUUA